AAUGCUGAAGUGUGUGUUGUUGUUGUCUCUAAUCCUCAUUUUAUAUAAUUAUGUUUUUCUCAGCUCAAUUCGAAGCAUCAGCUGCUCUCACAACACUGUGAUUGUGGCUGUAGUGAAAAGGCCGGAUCGUGAAGAAGCCACUGUGAUGCCGCUGAUAUCAGCAGGAUUUAACAGGCGAUAUGUGGAGAACUCCAACAUGAUGUCCUGUUAUAACGAACUCCUCCAGCUCCAUCACGGAGAAAUACGAGCUCAGAUCAAACUCAGAGCCUGUAACGCUGUUUUUACUGCACUGGAACAGAGUCAGGAAGCCAUUGAGAUCAGCAGUGAAGAUCAGAUCAUACAGGUACACACACACACACUCUCUCUCUCUCACACACA